rnacentral:rRNA from 1 species
CACGGAGUUAGCCGAUGCUUUUUCUCCGGGUACUCUCCGCCUGGGCACACGUGCUCAGGCUUGCUCCCCGGCAAAAGAGGUUUACAACCCGUAGGGCCGUCUUCCCUCACGCGACUUGGCUGGUUCAGGCUUGCGCCCAUUGACCAAUAUUCCUCACUGCUGCCUCCCGUAGGAGUCUGGACCGUGUCUCAGUUCCAGUGUGGGGGACCUUCCUCUCAGAACCCCUACGCAUCGUCGCCUUGGUGGGCCGUUGCCCCGCCAACUAGCUAAUGCGCCGCAUGCCCAGCCGGUACCGGAUCUCUCCUUUGAACCCAAGGGGAUGCCCCCUCGGGUUGUCACGCGGUAUUAGACGGCGUUUCCGCCGCUUAUCCCCCUGUACCCGGACAGGUUGCAUACGUGUUACUCACCCGUGCGCCGGUCGCCGGCAAAGAUUAGCAAGCUAACCUUCCCGCUGCCCCUCGACUUGCAUGUGUUAAGCCUGUCGCUAGCGUUCAUCCUGAGCCAGGAUCAAAACUCU